AUUGAACGCUGGCGGCAGGCCUAACACAUGCAAGUCGAACGCGUGGCGGCCGGGUGAUUACUUUCUGGGAAACUGCCCGAUGGCGGGGGAUAACUACUGGAAACGUUAGCUAAUCCCUCAUACCAUCGGAUGUUCCCAGAUGGGAUUAGCUAGUCGGUGGGGUAACGGCUCCCCUCGGCGACGAUCCCUAGCUGGUCUGAGAGGAUGACCAGCCACACUGGAACUGAGACACGGUCCAGACUCCUACGGGAGGCAGCAGUGGGGAAUAUUGCACAAUGGGCGCAAGCCUGAUGCAUCCAUGCCGCGUGUAUGAAGAAGGCCUUCGGGUUGUAAAGUACUUUCAGCGGGGAGGCGUUACCCGCAGAAGAAGCACCGGCUAACUCCGUGCCAGCAGCCGCGGUAAUAC
rnacentral:rRNA from 1 species